CAGUCGCCACGGUAAUACGAAGGGGGCUAGCGUUGUUCGGAUUUACUGGGCGUAAAGCGCACGUAGGCGGAUCGAUCAGUCAGGGGUGAAAUCCCAGAGCUCAACUCUGGAACUGCCUUUGAUACUGUCGAUCUGGAGUAUGGAAGAGGUGAGUGGAAUUCCGAGUGUAGAGGUGAAAUUCGUAGAUAUUCGGAGGAACACCGGUGGCGAAAGCGGCUCUCUGGUCUGUAACUGACGCUGAGGUACGAAAGCGUGGGGAGCAAACAGGAUUAGAGACCCGAGUAGUCCCUGUCUCUUAUAC
rnacentral:rRNA from 1 species